CUUGGUCUGGAACUUCUAGUGUGUAAAAGUGUGAGACAACACAUUUCUGUUGUUUAAGACACACAAUCUGUGGUACUUUGAUACAGCAGCCCUGACAAACUAAUACAUGGGGUGUCUCAUUGUAGUUUUAAUCAGUAACACCCAUUAUGAACUGAAAACGUCUGCUACUUUUAAGAUCCAACUUGAAUGCUUCCUGAUUAAAUAUAUACAGGAGUGAUUUCAGAGGAAUUUAAGUUUUGGAUCAUUCUUUUGAGAAAGAAAGAAAAGUACCCUUUUAAAAGAGGUUCAACAAAGCCAUUAAGACUAACCGUUUUUGCUGGAGCUGCAAGAUUUUCCAUUUCUUCAUGAGUCACCCAAACGUUGCCUGAAGGCUAGUGAGGAGGCCCAGAGGGAAGCAGAGGAAUCCAUGGGAGGCAAGCAGUGGUAAAGAAGAAAGGCAGCACCUCUACUUUCUUCUGCCACUGCCACUCCUGAGACAACAUGACCAAUCUCUCCCCUUCCUCCUCCUCAGCGUACUUUCAACAUAAAGACGACGAGGAUAAAGGCAUUUAUGAUGAACUACUUCCACAUAAUGAAUAAUUGAACAAAGGAGAGAAUUGUGAGAGUGAGAAAAAGUGAGACAAAGAAGAAAAACUAUAAAUCAGCAAAAUACAGUGCCAAGAGCUCUGGACCACAAAUCAGAAGACCUGAGCCCUAAUUCCUUUCCAGUCAUUGGAUUUGUUCGUCGCUUGCCAAAAUAGCAGCGAACUCUCUGUCAAACUGCAACUCAUUUUAUCGGAGCAAAAACUGAACAAAGAACUGCUAUCAUUUCUGAGGUCAGAGGCAGUGCAGCUUGUGUUACAACUCAAAAGAGUAAUACUCUGAAAAAAGAAAAAAAAAGAUGGCGCUGAAAAUAAACAUGUUCAGCAGCCAUUGUGAUUCAACUUACCCAGAUGUGCUUUUCAUGAGAUGGAGAAGGACGGAUGGAAAAGAAAAGCACACAAAUGUUAAUGGAUACAGUUCAAUCCAAAGAAAACCAUGGAAUAAAACAAGAGCAUUAUUUAAGAUGUGAGAAAGCUCAGGUAUGAGAAAGACAUGGUG
rnacentral:lncRNA from 10 species